AAGAGCACGUGCGACCUGCCUGAC
rnacentral:piRNA from 1 species